rfam:TPA: Bos taurus chromosome 1, whole genome shotgun sequence.
UCCCUGGUGGCUCAGAUGGUAAAGCAUCUACCUGCAAUGAGGAAGACCCAGGUUUGAUCCCUGGGUUGGGAA